rnacentral:rRNA from 1 species
AUAGAGACUCAGAGCUGCAUAUCAAUAAGCGGAGGAAAAGGAAACUAACUAGGAUUCCCUUAGUAACGGCGAGUGAAGCGGGAAGAGCUCAAAUUUGAAAUCUUCAAGGUUCUACCUUGACGAAUUGUAGUUUAUAGAAGUGUUUUCUGUUAGUGGAGUUGGCUAAAAGUUCUUUGGAAUAGGACAUCAUAGAGGGUGAGAAUCCCGUAUUUGGUCAUUCCUCCUAGCGUUGUGAUACACUUUCAACGAGUCGGAUUGUUUGGGAAUGCAGUCCAAAAUGGGUGGUAAAUUUCAUCUAAAGCUAAAUAUUGGCGAGAGACCGAUAGCGAACAAGUACCGUGAGGGAAAGAUGAAAAGAACUUUGAAAAGAGAGUUAAACAGUACGUGAAAUUGUCAAAAGGGAAGCGUUUGACACCAGUGUUGUUUUUCCGAAAAUCAAUUACGAAUGUUUUAUUUUUGAGAGAGUUAUGACUUCAUCGGCUUGCUUCUUUCUUUAUCGAAACUUUCUUAAUGCACUUUUCGGUUAACAAGUCAACAUCAAUUUCUUUUGUUGUAAAAGGGUAUGAGGAAGGUGGCUUUCUUUUCGGAGAAAGUGUUUAUAGCCUUGUACCUCUGCAAUCGGAGAGAUUGAGGUCUGCAGCGUAGAUCCUUCGGGGUUAGAUACAUUUGUGCUAAGUUAUAGCUUUUCAUAGACAACUUGUUGACUAUGUUUAGUCUUGUAGCUUACUCGCUGAUGCUAUUUUACCUACGCUUAGGAUGUUGAGAUAUGCGCGACACG